CAACUUUCAACANCGGAUCUCUUGGCUCUCGCAUCGAUGAAGAACGCAGCGAAAUGCGAUAAGUAAUGUNAAUUGCAGAAUUCAGUGAAUCAUCGAAUCUUUGAACGCACCUUGCGCCCCUUGGUAUUCCGAGGGGCAUGCCUGUUUGAGUGUC
rnacentral:rRNA from 1 species